rnacentral:rRNA from 1 species
GACGAACGCUGGCGGCGUGCUUAACACAUGCAAGUCGAACGGAAAGGCCCUGCUUGCAGGGUACUCGAGUGGCGAACGGGUGAGUAACACGUGGGUGAUCUGCCCUGCACUUCGGGAUAAGCCUGGGAAACUGGGUCUAAUACCGGAUAUGACCUUCCAUGUAGUGUGGGGGGUGGAAAGAUUUAUCGGUGUGGGAUGAGCCCGCGGCCUAUCAGCUUGUUGGUGGGGUAAUGGCCUACCAAGGCGUCGACGGGUAGCCGGCCUGAGAGGGUGGACGGCCACAUUGGGACUGAGAUACGGCCCAGACUCCUACGGGAGGCAGCAGUGGGGAAUAUUGCACAAUGGGCUGAAGCCUGAUGCAGCGACGCCGCGUGGGGGAUGACGGCCUUCGGGUUGUAAACCUCUUUCGACAGGGACGAAGCUUCGGUGACGGUACCUGUAUAAGAAGCACCGGCUAACUACGUG